AGAUUGAACGCUGGCGGCAGGCCUAACACAUGCAAGUCGAGCGGUAGAGAGGUGCUUGCACCUCUUGAGAGCGGCGGACGGGUGAGUAAUGCCUAGGAAUCUGCCUAGUGGUGGGGGAUAACGUUCGGAAACGCGCUAAUACCGCAUACGUCCUACGGGAGAAAGCGGGGGACCUUCGGGCCUCGCGCCAUUAGAGGAGCCUAGGUCGGAUUAGCUAGUUGGUGAGGUAAUGGCUCACCGAAGGCGACGAUCCGUAACUGGUCUGAGAGGAUGAUCAGUCACACGUGGAACUGAGACGACGGUCCAGACUCCGUACGGGAGCAGGCAGGUGGGAAUAGCGGACAAGUGGGACAAAGCCUAGACUCCAGCCAGUCGACCGUCGU
rnacentral:rRNA from 1 species